rnacentral:misc_RNA from 1 species
CGCUUUCAGACUGUAGUAGUAGUAGUGUGGGUGUGCCACCUUCCACGCCCAGUCGACUUUCACCAUAGAGGGCGAGAGGAGGACAAAAAAAAGGGGAGAGACUGCUGCGCCAAGUGGCAGGGUAGCCGCGCCCCGCAUGUGCAUCCAUUCCACGCGACUACUACGGCCUCGCACGCACACACAUACGCGCACGCCAUCUCCAACGCAACUUUUGGACAUCAAAACAAGAAAACGAUCCCGUGACGGCGCCGUCGCAUAACGUGAGCAGAACAGGAGUGAGAGACAAUCAUCGGCAAAGAUGCGCGCCUCUACGGACGGGCCAGCGGCGCGGACGGCGGCCGAUCUCGACAAGAUGGAUGACAAGCUGCGCCGCCUCGGCCUGGACGUGGAUCGCCCCACCACCACGCCGCCGUUCUUCGCCCUCUCGGCGGCGCACGGCAGUGCGGACUACAUUCACUCCAUCCGCGCAGCCAAGGCGGAGAAGCAACAGGCACGCCUGGACAGGUUGGCGCGGCUGGCGGCCGCUGCAGAGAAGCAGCAAUCAUCGAGCUCUGUCGCCGUUGUUGUUGCUGCUGCUGCGUCGUCAAGGGCUGGCGCUGUCACGGACACCUCCCGCGCGGAUCAUACGGCUGUGGGGGACAAGGCGUUGCUCGCGAGCGACGUUGCCGAUGCCGCCUUGCGAGCGAGUGAGAAGAGCAAGAGCGACCUCGCGCAGCAACUCCGAACGGAGCGGAUGCUGAAGGUCGCCGUGGUCCACCAGCAGAGCCUCACGGAGGAGCGCGACCAGCUGGUUUCCAUGCUACCGUCAAGCAACACGGUGCCACACUCGCUGAAGGUCACGGCGCCAGAGUGGCGGGAGCGCAAGCGUCAGGAAGCGGUAGUGUGGUGUGCAGCGGUGGCGCGAGGGCUGGCUGAGUUGGCCAUGGAGGUGUCCGACAACCGACACCUGCCUGCCACGGGGCUUUGCGGGCGACCCGUGUACCGGCUGCACCAAGACCUGCCCGUUACGCAGUGGCGGCAGUGGCUGGAGAAGCUGGUGUUUCCUAUGUCGCUGUCAACCGCCGCAGCGGAGAUCAAGCGACGCAGCGAUGACGGAGCUGCCGGCACCGACAGCGAAGUCGCUGACUCCUCAGUCUUAAGGAGUGCAGAUGCGCAGCAGUCGCUACUGCAGCAGACGCUCGACGCCAGCCUGCAGCUCGAAGCGGCGAAGUGCAUCACAUCGGCGACUGAGGCCGAGGCGCAGGAAGCCGUGCGAGCGCAAGCGGAGGCCGUGACGUGUGUCCUGGCUAAGCUGCAUGCAGAAGUGGCGCGUCAGCGCAAGGCCGCCGAGGAGACUGUGCGGCUGGCCGCUGACGAGGCCAACCUCCCUGCUCCACAGGCUGCAGAGGGUGAUGUAGGUGUCACUGGCACUCUUCACCGCGAGGAACUAGUGCCGGGGUGGGCGCAGCGGAUGCCGCCGGCGGCGUGCCUCGUCUAUGGAGACGACCUCAGCGGCGCCCGACUCCUGGCUGAAACGAUCGAAGUGUGUGUGCAGCGCAAAUCGCAUCAGCAGCAGCCCCCUUCACAGUCGCCACAUCGCCGGCUUGCCGCAUCGCGCCAAUACUCGCUCGGGGCUGGAGAGGGCGCUGAAACCAGCGCAGUUGAUUUUUCGUCCAUUACACUCUCGUCCACUGCGCCGACCUCCGCCGCCGCACCGGUAGAGGAGCUCUUCUCCCACUUUGUAGUGAGCGAAAUCGGUGUCGAGAGCAUCGACCCCUCGUUGGUAGAGGGGGGUGCGGUGGCUACGUACGUCACCCCGCGCACGCUGCUCGGAAACAGUGCGCUGGGUGCUAGCGGCGGCGAUGCGAAGCGAAGCGGCUCUGCAGGGCGUUCACAGCGGGCGCAGCAGCACUCUUCGGGUGGCGGCGGCAACCCUGGUGGCGGUGGCGGCGCAUCUCAGGGGGUCGCCACCACCGCCGGCCCCGGCACCAGCAGCAACACCGCCUCCCGCUUUAGUCAGCGGGUGAAUGCGGUGUCCGCGGAAUGCCGACGCGAGAGCGAGCAGCUGAUCGAAGCUGUCGUAAGGGAAGUGGUACGAGUGCAUCGCCACAACUUGGGCGUCUUGGCUGGUGAUCGCAUGCUGUCGUGGGUGCCGAAGCCAACGGCCCCCGCCCUCGCCCCUGCUGCCGGCUCGGUGGCCACAGCAGAGGAAAUCAGCCAGCCCAACGCGGCGGCGUUGGGGUCUGUGCCGCUUCGCACGCUCUUCCUCGUCGGUUUCUCCGACUCCUCUUCCUUCGUUGAAGUGCUAGCGCGGCGGCUGAGGCAGGCGACGGCAGCGGCGGAGGCGGAGCUGAUGGAGAUGGAGGGUCGUCGGCGUGCCGCCGAGCAGCAGGCAGCGGUCGCCGCUGCAGCGGCCGAGUCGAGCAAGCAGCGCACGUCGCCGCCAGUAAAGGGGGCGAAAGGUGCGUCACCUGGGCCGCCGCGCUCCAAGAGCAACCGACUUGCCAAGACUGUGGCCGGCGUGGAAGAGCAGGCCGUAUCCGCCAUGGUAGAGGAGCUUCAAGCCACGAUGGCGAUGCCGCCGCUCGGAGUGCUGGCAACCUUCCUCGUCUACGACCUUCCGACACGCCAGCGGCGGCUCGAGGCGGCAUCGUUCGCGACAGACGCAGCGGCAGCGCAGCGGGCCAGCGGCGACGACUGCGAAGAUGACCUCAACAACUUUUCGGGUGUCGGUGGCGGCGCGCUGCUGCGCGCCGCGGGACCAGAGUAUACCCAUCCCGUGUACAACCCAUCCCCGGAGGAAAUCCAGAGUUUCGGGCCUCCGUCGGCGGCCAAAGAGCUUGCACCGGCGCGGCUCAUCGGCGUCCAUCCCGGCAGCCUCUCGGGUGGGUCCUCCUCGCCGUCUCUGCUGUUUCCCCCUUCGCCCCCCGGUGCCGCGUCCACCGUGACGGCAGCGUCGACUCUCUGCGUGCAAACCUGGAGCGUCGAGCGGCUGCGCACCGAGCUCAAGCAGCAGCACGCACAGCAGCAGCGCCAGCGCAAGGAGUGGAUGGCCGCAGUGGUGGCUCACGCACACCGCGAAGGUGUGGAGGCUGUCUCCGGGGGACUGCUCAACGCUGGGGCCUCGUUCCGCCACACUAUUAAACGCCGCGAGAAGUCGACGGCGAGCGUGAGCGCUAACCUCGCCAGCGCCUCCCCAGAUUCGGAGCGUGCUGGCUCCAUCCCACGGCGCGCAAGCAUGUCAAUGGUAUCUCGGGCCGUCGACUCUUCGACAAUGACGGCUGGCAAUCUGCUGGAGGAGAAGGGGCUGCCGCGCGCACUCUUCUUUGUGCGUGUGCAGGACGUGAGCGACCCCACGACGCCGUUGGCCAGCUCCGCCGACCCUCAACUGGACCCUACAAACCUGGGCACGACGAUCUGGCGUGCCGCCGCCACCUCGCAAUUCCACGCAGUUGAUCUGCAGCAUGGGUGCGCUGAGGCGCGUGCGCGAACCGUGAAUGAGCUAACAGCACAGCUGCGGCUGCUCUGCCGCCCUGCUGCGGGCCGUGUACUCACGAAUGAGUCCCUGGCGCCGCGGCAGCUGGCAGAGCCCUUCCGUCUGGGUGAUUACCGCCUGACGGAGGCGACCUGCGUCCGCCUGAAGAAGACGAGUAAGGCCUUUCUGGGCACUCUGCCCGUAGCGCCGGCGCCACAAUCCUUCGAGAGGAGUGGCACCUUCCCAGGCAAGGCCGUAGCUGCCGCCGCUAGGGACGCGCUUGCAGCAGAGGUGGAGGUGUGGGCGACCGUCCUGCAGCACGCGGAGCAGCUGUACCACCUCGUCGCGGAGGAGGUGUUUAUGGACGGAGUUGCGCAGUCAGAGUGCCCUGUCGCACUGCCGGCUGCAGCGACCCUCAGUACCACGGCGUGGUUUACCGGCAUCGAUCAGAGCUACGCACGGGCAAAGGAGGCGAUCGCGGCGUGCACGACGUACACUGUCGCCCAUCUCGAGGACUGUCUCGCUCUUCUGCUGCGCUUCUCGGUGGACGUGUGUCUUGGCCAGCUCGCUGCGUCGGUGCGCCUGCUCUGCUGCAGCAUCGCACGCCAUCAUCGGGUGGAGACGGAUGUGUCGUUCGACGCUGUGGCCUCCGCUCUCGGGAGCGGCAGCGACAAAGUCGACGAGGAGGUUCUCAGAGUUGCACCGCGACUCUCCGCCGAGGCUGCACGAGCCCUGAUCGACUCCCUGCGCUUCGUGAACGCAAGCGAGGCGAGCGCCAUGCUGUCUGCCGAGCUAGCGGUGGCUUACUGGCCGCAGGUAGCAGCCGCAGCAGCGGAGGUGGCCGUGCAGUUUUUCAAACGUUGCUCUCUGCAAAAUCUAGCCGGCGACGCCUUCUCCUCGGCCGCGAACACGCCACAGCCACCGCAGCAAACUCAGGUCGUCGCAAAGGAGAGUGAAUGCGCGAGGGACAGCAACGCAGGUGCGGCGAACGACGCCGUGGUGCCCGAGCUGGAAGCCAAGAUUUUGGCGGAGGAGCACGUUCCAGCAGCCGUGCAACUCCUCCUCGAACAGGCCAUCAACGCGCCAGCGCCCCUCGCACGUGCUGCGCUUCUUCUGCAGGAGUCACAGCGGAUGGUGUGUGCCGCGCGCGACGGCGCCGAAGCUUGGGUGGAGCUGCUGUACCGCGAGGUGCUUGGCAUGCACGCAACGGCGCCGGCAUCAACUGUGCCAACCGCGCGACGGCCGUGCAGCCUUGACGAGCUCGCCGACGGCCCUCUGGCCGUGCUGCGCAUCUACACUGACGAGGCGACGAAUCUGCGGCGGCCCAGCCCAUGGCGAUGCGGCCAACUGGAGUUGCUUCUGAGCUCCGUCCGCCCGGCCAAACCGAAUGCCAUGGUGCCCAUGGAGAAGUUCGAGCGCGGCCUCCUUGUUCAUCAGCUGCAGCGCCUCUGGCGCUUCCUCCCCGACAUAUCUGCCGAGCUGGCGGCGAAGGCGAAGUAUUCAAUAAGGGACCAUGAGGCGAAGACCCCGGCGCCAACGACGCGUCCGGUCCGGCCAGCCACGUUCUCCUCAGCGACUGCAGGGCCCCUUGCGCUGCCGGACCCGUCGCUCGACGCGUACCUGCUGACUAGCUGCCCCUGCCGCCCCUCCGCAGCGCUACGCUUUCCUUUUCUCACCACGGCAGACGUGGAACGGCUCUCUGCAGCGGCGGCGGCCGGGGUCACAUCCACAGCGGCGGCGGGAAAGCCGCUAGUGAUGGUUGACCUAGAGCUAUGGCUGGCGAACCUCGCGCUUCGCCGCUGCUGUUUUUGCGCAACGUGCGACGCACCGACGGCUGGUGCUGGUGGCGGCGAACCCGAGCUUGCGGUAAUGCAAACUUCUCAGUGCAUGCGUGCAUGCGCCGCGAAACCGAGCUCUGGCGCCGUGCGGCAAACCAUAGCCACUCUGCCUGCUUGCGUGCUGGCGCAAUACGCUACGUUCUGCACGACAGCGAUGCCGCCUUUGCCGUCUCUCGUCACAACCCCGCCUCCCUCUCCGGGCGAGAUGCCGGCGGAGUGGAUGCUCGUGCAAUGGUGGUGGCGCGAGUGGUGCGGCGAGGACGCGUGGAGUCAGUCUGAGGACGUGCAGCGGUGCUAUGCGCUGUGGCGGAUCUUACUGGGACAUGUUCCGCCAAGCCGACCCUCGUCCCCCAACUAUGCAGCGCCGACUCUAUUAACGAUGGCCCCUCUCUUGUCCUCCCUGCUGCGCCUCCUCGUGGGCAUCGGUAGGCAUGCCGGCGCCACAGAGGAGCGAGUGCGACGUGCCUUCCACUGCCUUGCGGCUCUGCGGCGAGUGCCUGCAGGAGCGCUGGACACCCGCACCGCCAAGGCCGAGGAGAACGCUGAUGCCGAUGCGGCGAUGACCAUCGAGGACGACAUGACCCUCACAGUCGAUGAAUGUGCUGCUUUGGGACGCCUGCUAAGUCCGACAGCUCUCACCGUCGGCAGCAACGUCCCUGUAACGACAACGCCAGCGACGGCAGCGGAAGCGGCGGUGCCAGUAACAUCUGAGAGCGAAGUCCGCGGGCACGAGUUUAUCACGGAUGUGCAGCUUCUCCUGCAGGUGGAGGGCACCAAGGGCGUGACGCUACCACUGCUGCUCUCCUCACGAUGGGCCAGUCUAAUGAUGAGGGAGCACUUCUAGAGUUCUGGCGACAGUGGCGGCAAGGCAGGAAGGGUCACGCUGGUUGCACUGAAAACGCUGCCAGCGCAUGCGGCAUGAGGCAGAAGAUGGCGUCCACAGCCCGCAGAGGGACCCUUGUUGUUGCGAUCGGCUAUCGGAAGUGCAGCACGAGAAGCAAGCGGUGUCGCCCACUCAUCCACGCGCCCCCUCCUCCUCUUGCCCUCUCUCUCCGCUCUGUCGCCCACUGCGUGGCUGCUGGCAAAAGAAAUGGCCCACCUUGCUAGAGAACAGGGCGGUAGUGACGGCGCCGGCCAGAUCGCUGGCAAGAUCCGCAUACCUUCCUAUGAAAGCGGCAUCACGGAGAAAGAAAGGGAACUGGAUGUACAGUAGCUCUUUGUCCCGGGCGGAAUGUGUUAAGGGACCGCCCACUCCAAGAGAAGGAGGGAGGCGAUGGACGGGGCCUUGGGUGACCCGCGCCUGUGCCUCCCCCGCCCCUCCCGCCGGCGUCGGCUUCGUUUUUGUUUUCACUUUUCUUUGGAGUUUCCGUAUCGUUGGCUCUGCUGUUGUCGCGGUGUCCAACCUGCCCCAUCAUGUAUAGGUUGCCCUUGUUUACUUUGAGGGGCUGGCGUGCACGCCCCGCCCCUCUCGAAAUACCCACUCUUUUCGUCUGGCGUUACUUGUCACGCAUAUCUUUCUGCCUCCUCCUCCUCGGGUCUCCUCCCUCCGUGGAAGCCAAU